CCCCAGUCUGGGGCUCCGGGUAAAGUUUCAGCCUCCGCACGUGACUCGCCAUGGCCGCGGCCGUCGCCCCGCGCCCCCUGAGCCCCGGACCCCGAGGUCGCUCUCCCGGGACCCCGCGCCCCAACACCGCGCCGAGGCGCCAAGUGCGGGCGGACGCCGUGCCCGCGGGCACCCGGACGGGCUCAGCCCCCGCCGCGAGCUCCAUGGGACAUGGCCGCCCAGGCCGCCUUGCUGGGGCUCAUCUAGGAGUGGCGUUCCUCAUGUCGCCCUGAAGGCCAGCUCUGGACCUCCCCAGGAAAGUGCCACCUUGCAGAGCUGCUCCUCCGGAGCCCCGACCCUUGGGACACCCUCCAGCCGGCGGCCCCCAGUGGAGUGGGGGCUCCAGGAGGCCAGGCCUGGCUUGCUGACCUUGGACAGCAGCUGCAGGACGGGCCAGAGGGGGAGGCUGCCACCCAGACCCCUCUGGGCCCAGGCCCCAUGCCCCAAGGAGGGGCGGCCUGAAAGCUCCUGCAGCCCGUGCGGGCCUGUCCACCUGCCCUUCUGACUGUGGCUUCUUGGCAUGGCCAGCAACAGCAGCUCCUGCCCGACACCUGGGGGUGGGCACCUCAAUGGGUACCCAGUGCCCCCUACGCCUUCUUCUUCCCCCCGAUGUUGGGUGGACUGUCGCCGCGGGCACCCUGACCUCGCUGCCAGCACCGCUUCCGUGAGCGGAUACAGCACCCCGUCCCCGGCCAGUGAGUGCGGGUGUGCAGGGUCCCGGGGGCCACGAGCUGCAGAGCUGCUCAGAUGAGGGCGCGGAGCCGGGGCUUGCCGAGAAGGUGGUUGUGUCUGCGUGGGAGGCGCAGGGAGCGGUGGAGGCCCAGUGAGCGCCUAUAAAUAGCCGCAGGAACUGGACUCAGG
rnacentral:lncRNA from 1 species